GAGCGGGGAAGUCUCUGUCCCCAUAGCUAGGUGGGUAGGGGGCACCGAGGGAGUUCGGAUUGCAGCUGGACGGGGGAGAAGUCACUCCGGAUCUACCUACGGCGGGCGGGCUGGGCCCAGCCCAGAGUCUCUCUCUGGGCAAACAUACAAGAGGGAUGAGAGAGAGAGAGAGAGAGAGAGAGAGAGAGAGAGAGAGAGAGAGAAGUGGUGGCGCUUCUGCAACUGAUCUCUCUCUGGGCUGCGAGAAAUGGACGCACUCAUAUCUCCUCCCCAUCCCCAUCCUGCUGGAAUAUCUACCGGGAAGCUAAAGCAUUUCUUCCUCGUUGCCUGUCAGCUGAAACCUGAAUGCAGAUGGGACCUGGAUUGCCUGCCAUAGAUGUCAGAAAGAGAGAGAGAGAGACCUGGUGGCAAAUAUAUCAACAACAAAAAAUAAGUCAACAUGUGCUUCGGUCUUUUGCCUUCUGCAAAUACAAUCAGAGAUGAUGGGCCUGUCUUUUGCCAACGCACCUGUGCUCUCACACACAUGCAGCCACUGGAUUAUGCCAUUGGGCUAAAGCCACAGAAAGCAACUUGUGGCAUCAUUCUUCUGCCUAAAGACAGGAGACAAUAUGACAUAGCUCUGUUCUUAGACCCAGAGCUUAUCAGGCUUCGCCAUGAAUAUUUCCCCCCUCUACUGAUGCAAAUGAAGGGUUGUUGUUUUUUAAAAGAGUUUUGCUUGUUGCUUCACUGAUUUGCUUGCAAUGUUUAUACUGUUCAGUGUUUUCUGUUUAUUUAUUGCUGUAACUUGCCUUGUGAAGGUUAUACCUUGAAAGGUGAGAUACAUUGCAGUCUUUACACCUGGCAUGGAUAGUUGGUGCUCUUUAUGCUAAGGUUGCAGGUUCAAUCGCCAUAUGGGGCAGCUGCAUAUUCCUGCAUUGCAAGGGGUUGGACUAGAUGGUCCUCAGGGUCCCUUGCAACGCUACAGUGCUAUGAUUCUAUGGUUCUUGGACCUCUCCCCAAACUAUACCCUCUUCCUCCAGGCCAGACAUACACCUUUGACAUUGCCACCCCCCCCAAGUGUUUUUGCCUGGCUGGAAUGUGUCCUUGAAUUCUGAUGAUGUCUCUUGCUUGUCUGGUUGGAGGGGUAUGUGAGUGUAUGUAGAAACUAGUCUACUGCACAAAGGUAAAAUUUUGCUCCACCCACUUUUGCCUCUGGCUCCUCCCACCACUGGAAUGUGGCCCCUAAGUAUGUGGCCCUCAGCUGGAAAAGGUUCCUUAUCCUUGCUGUAAAAAUCAGUGGCCUUUCUCCAGGUAAGUGGGAAUAGGGUUGCAGCCUAAAAAAAUAAAAAUAAAAAUAUGUCCCUUACAGACUGGAAUGUGACUUAUUAUUUGCCAGGCAUGGAAUGGAGGGAGGGGAAGGGUACAUGAUGGGGAACCACAUUUUACAAAUAUUCUUAGCAGAGUACCAGCUGCACCACUGUAUAUAUAUCUCCUAAGGAGCCUCUCACCCUGUCUGAACCACACACAAUCUCAUUCUGUUCUACUUCUGUGUGGAUUUUCACUAUACGUGUCAGGGGUGGGUGCCUCAAACAGCUCAGUAAUAACUCACACGGCAUCAGUGAAGUUAACUUUUUAUUCAAAGAAGCAAACAGCUCAGGAGGCCAGGCCUGGACUGCUCUCUGCCAUAGACUCUCCCUGCUCACGAAACCCUGUUGCCUUUUCUGCUUCCGACGCCUCCUCCACCCAGUCUGCUCCCUCUUCUCCAUCUGACCACUUAUCAUCAUCCCACCACCAAUUCCUUGGCUCUGAGCCUUCUUCCCUUUGGGGGUUCCCCAACUGAUAAUAAUAAUA